rnacentral:tRNA from 1 species
GUCCCCAUCGUCUAGAGGCCUAGGACAACUCCCUUUCACGGAGUAGACACGAGUUCGAAUCUCGUUGGGGACGCCA